CGAGAAACACGGAUGCUGUUCUCUCGCGCCUAAUUCAGGUUUAUGACCCUUGGUGUUUCCGAGGCAGACUGCUUGCUUUUCUACUCACGAAUCCCUCCCCUUCUUCCUGGAUAGAAGACAGUCUUGGUCCGGAAGGUGGGGCUUUGAAGAGUCCAAGUGUGGGGUAAUUUAGGCAUCGUAUCCAUCUCCUAGCUUUCUAGGUUCUGAGGCGGAAGCCCAGAGUGAAUGGGACGCUCUGACGAGCGUGGGCCGCUGAGUGGCUGAGGAGGGGUGUAGAGAGCUCAUGGCUCUGACUUCGAGUCCCACCGCGGCUAGAGCUUGGCGACUCUUGGAAUCCCAAUGCAACCUGGAACUCCGGACGUAAUUUGGAAACGAUUGACACAUUUGAACACAGGACCUAGGAGUUAUUGGAGAGAAAUCUUGCCCUUGUGGAGCCCUACUGACCAUAAAAAAAAAAUGAGUACUGCUGAUGCACUUGAUGAUGAAAAUACAUUUAAAAUCUUAGUUGCAACUGAUAUUCACCUUGGAUUUAUGGAGAAAGAUGCAGUCAGAGGAAAUGAUACAUUUGUCACAUUUGAUGAAAUUUUAAGACUUGCCCAGGAAAAUGAAGUGGAUUUUAUUUUGUUAGGUGGUGAUCUUUUCCAUGAAAAUAAGCCCUCAAGAAAAACAUUACAUACAUGCCUUGAAUUAUUAAGAAAAUAUUGUAUGGGUGAUCGUCCUGUACAGUUUGAAAUCAUUAGUGAUCAAUCAGUCAACUUUGGUUUUAGUAAAUUUCCAUGGGUGAACUACCAAGAUGGCAAUCUCAACAUCUCAAUUCCAGUGUUUAGUAUUCAUGGAAAUCAUGAUGAUCCUACAGGGGCAGAUGCUCUUUGUGCCCUGGAUAUUUUAAGUUGUGCUGGAUUUAUAAAUCACUUUGGACGUUCAAUGUCUGUGGAGAAGUUGGACAUUAGUCCAGUUUUGCUUCAAAAAGGAACCACAAAAAUUGCUCUAUAUGGUUUAGGGUCCAUUCCAGAUGAAAGGCUUUAUCGAAUGUUUGUCAAUAAAAAAGUAACGAUGUUGAGACCAAAAGAAGAUGAGAACUCUUGGUUUAAUUUAUUUGUGAUUCAUCAAAACAGGAGUAAACAUGGAAGUACAAACUUCAUUCCAGAACAGUUUUUGGAUGACUUCAUUGAUCUUGUUAUUUGGGGCCAUGAACAUGAGUGUAAAAUAGCUCCGACCAAAAAUGAGCAGCAGCUCUUUUAUGUAUCACAACCUGGAAGCUCAGUGGUUACUUCUCUUUCCCCAGGAGAAGCUGUGAAGAAACACGUUGGUUUGCUUCGUGUUAAAGGGAGGAAGAUGAAUAUGCAGAAGAUCCCUCUUGGUACCGUGCGACAGUUUUUUAUGGAGGAUGUUGUUCUGGCUAAUCAUACAGAUAUUUUUAACCCAGAUAAUCCUAAAGUAACCCAAGCCAUACAAAACUUCUGUUUGGAGAAGAUUGAAGAAAUGCUUGAAAAUGCUGAACGGGAACGUCUGGGAAAUUCUCGACAGCCAGAGAAGCCUCUUAUACGACUUCGAGUGGACUAUAGUGGAGGUUUUGAACCUUUCAAUGUUCUUCGCUUUAGCCAGAAAUUUGUGGAUCGAGUAGCUAAUCCAAAAGAUGUUAUCCAUUUUUUCAGGCAUAGAGAACAAAAAGAAAAAACAGGAGAAGAGAUCAACUUUGGGAAGCUUAUCACAAAACCUUCAGAAGGAACAACUCUCAGGGUAGAAGACCUUGUCAAACAGUAUUUUCAGACUGCAGAGAAGAAUGUUCAACUCUCACUGCUAACAGAAAGAGGGAUGGGUGAGGCAGUACAAGAAUUUGUGGACAAGGAAGAGAAGGAUGCCAUUGAGGAAUUAGUGAAAUACCAGUUGGAAAAAACACAGCGAUUUCUUAAAGAACGUCAUAUCGAUGCCUUAGAAGAUAAAAUUGAUGAAGAGGUACGUCGUUUCCGAGAAAGCAGACAAAAAAAUACUGAAGAAGAAGAUGAUGAAGUUCGAGAGGCCAUGAAUAGGGCCCGAGCUCUCAGGUGUCAAUCAGAAGACCACACAUCUGCCUUUAGUGCUGAUGACCUCAUGAGUAUAGAUCUAGCAGAACAAAUGGCAAAUGACUCUGAUGAUAGCAUCUCAGCAGGACCCAACAAAGGAAGAGGCCGAGGCAGAGGUCGAAGAGGAGGCAGAGGGCAGAAUUCAGCAUCAAGAGGAGGGUCUCAAAGAGGCAGAGCAGGCAAUGCUCUAGAGACUUCUACUCGAAGCAGGAACUCAAAGGCCACCGUGUCAACAUCUAGAAAUAUGUCUAUUAUAGAUGCUUUUAAAACUGUGAGACAGCAGCCCUCCCGAAAUGUUGCUACUAAGAAUUACUCAGAGGAGAUUGAGGUGGAUGAAUCAGAUGAGGAUGACAUUUUUCCUACUACCUCAAAAACAGAUCAAAGGUGGUCGAGCACAUCAGCAAGCAAACACAUGUCCCAGAGCCAAAUAACUAAAGGGGUUGAUUUUGAAUCAGAUGAGUUGAAUUAAAGCUACAUGACUGAAGGAUACUGGACUUUCCCUUUCCUCCAUGGCUGCCAUUUGAAGGACGUUUACAAGUUUUUGUUCAAUUCCUUGAAGGAUGAAGAUGAUGAUCCUUUCAUGAACAUUGGUUCCUUAAGAAGAAACAGAAGAUAAUAUAUUCAAUGGAACUUAAAAAUUUUCAAGUUACAGAAAGAAUCAAAACAUUUCAAGCAAAGACUUCAUAGUUAAAGAUUUUAAAACUGUUUCUGUGAACUGAAAAUUUUGAAAAAGACUUACUUAACAGAUAAACUAAUAUGUAAGAAUUUAUAUUUUUAAGUAUCAUUUCCUGAACAUGACUCUAUUACUGAAGGUGUUUCUCAGCUGAUGGCUUUAAAAAUAACAUUGGUUCUCAUUUUUUAGUCUGAUUGUUAAAUUAUUUGGGAAUGCUUUGUAAAAUUUAAAAUGUAUUUUACUGACAUGUUAGUGUAUAUCUUACUGAAUAAGGGCUUUGCUUAAAGGUUGUUCUUGAAUAAGUAGUAAAAUAAAUCCACCAUUAUACAUUUCUGCUUCAUGAUCAAAGACUUUCAGUAUCUUAAUGUUAAAUUUAGCCAGAAUUGAAGGAAAGAGCUAUAAAAUUUAACCUCUUGUUUUAAAAAAUAAUUUUCUAGAGGCUUUGUAUUUCCCAGAAGUGAACAUUCUAUGUGAAACUGUGCCUCACAUCACUAUUUGUCAUUAAGUAUGGGUUUUCUUUUUUUUCCCCUAGUGCUUCAUAUGGUAGUAGCCCCAAAGAUUUGGAAUGAUUAGAAGUACGAAAAGUUUGAAUAAUUCUAUAUGGAUUUUUUUAUUUAAAAAAAAAAAGCCAAAACAGUCUGUUAGAAUUACUGAGUUUUUGUUCCAUUUGUAGCAAAAAUUUAAAACAUCAUGUUCCUAUGGAAUGGUAGCAAUUGUCUCUAUUAUUCUCUAUCAUUAAGGCUAUUCUCUUUCUUUCAUCUAUUUGUAGAAAGAAAAAUGUUAAAUAAAUUUUAUAUUUUACAAAUAUUAA